UACAAAUUCAUUAUUAUUUGAAGCAGUCCUAGUUUAGUUACAAUAAAUAAUCAAAUCAUAUAAAACUCUAUAAAACAGAUAGAAGCAUUAAAAACAAUAAAAAACUUCAGCACAAAUUUGUCUUCCAUUUCGUCUUGAUACAUCAACAUAGGCUCGAACUGUGUACCUGAUAAUCGAAUUACAUUAUAAAGAAGAGGAUAUCAGCAUUUAGUGAUAAGAGCUUUCAUCCAGCAUUCAUACAGCAACAGUUUGGAAUAAUUUCAACCAAAACAGCUUCAACAAAACACGGUAAUACACCACAAAAUCUAAUACUUGACGGAUGCCCAAAAAUGACUCAACUGAACCUCAAAACUCACUCGAAAUAGAAUCAAUAAACCUCAGAAGCCACAAAAAUCCGAACUUGAACUAGAAAAUGCAAAUUACUAGCUAAAAGAUGAAAUUCGCUUAAAAGAUUAAUGGAACAGUAGAUGUUUUUGGAUUUUUGGAAGUUUCUAUUGUUUUUUUGGUUUUCUAUAUGAAGAAAGCUAAGAUCUAAGUGGAUUUUGCCUCAGAAGCCACAAAAAUCAGAACUUGAACUAGAAAAUGCAAAUUAGUAACUAAAAGCUGAAAUUCGCUAAAAAGAUCAAUGGAACGGUAGAUGUUUUUGGAUUUUUGGAAGUUUCUAUUGUUUUUUGGUUUUCUAUAUGAAGAAAGCUAAGAUCUAAGAGUAUUUUGUUGAUCUAAAUUUUAAUUUCAGAUCUGUAAAGCAUAGGGAAAUUUUUGGGGGGAAUAUUGGGGCUCUAAAAAGUUUUGUUCAAGGUAUGUGAGUGUCAUUUUAUAGGGAAAGCUAAGAGG
rnacentral:lncRNA from 1 species